rnacentral:rRNA from 1 species
AGAGACAGCAGUCGCCACGGUAAUACGUAGGUCCCGAGCGUUGUCCGGAUUUAUUGGGCGUAAAGCGAGCGCAGGCGGUUAGAUAAGUCUGAAGUUAAAGGCUGUGGCUUAACCAUAGUACGCUUUGGAAACUGUUUAACUUGAGUGCAUGAGGGGAGAGUGGAAUUCCAUGUGUAGCGGUGAAAUGCGUAGAUAUAUGGAGGAACACCGGUGGCGAAAGCGGCUCUCUGGCUUGUAACUGACGCUGAGGCUCGAAAGCGUGGGGCGCAAACAGGAUUAGAUACCCGAGUAGUCCCUGUCUCUUAUACA